rnacentral:rRNA from 1 species
UACGGAGGGUGCAAGCGUUAUCCGGAUUCACUGGGUUUAAAGGGUGCGUAGGUGGGUUGGUAAGUCAGUGGUGAAAUCUCCGUGCUUAACAUGGAAACUGCCAUUGAUACUACUGAUCUUGAAUUUUUAGGAGGUAAGCGGAAUAUGUCAUGUAGCGGUGAAAUGCUUAGAUAUGACAUAGAACACCAAAUUGCGAAGGCAGCUUACUACAGGAAUAUUGACACUGAUGCACGAAAGCGUGGGGAUCAAACAGG